AUUGAACGCUGGCGGCAUGCUUUACACAUGCAAGUCGAACGGUAACAGGCCGCAAGGUGCUGACGAGUGGCGAACGGGUGAGUAAUGCAUCGGAACGUGCCCAGUCGUGGGGGAUAACGCAGCGAAAGCUGCGCUAAUACCGCAUACGAUCUAUGGAUGAAAGCGGGGGACCGUAAGGCCUCGCGCGAUUGGAGCGGCCGAUGUCAGAUUAGGUAGUUGGUGGGGUAAAGGCUCACCAAGCCGACGAUCUGUAGCUGGUCUGAGAGGACGACCAGCCACACUGGGACUGAGACACGGCCCAGACUCCUACGGGAGGCAGCAGUGGGGAAUUUUGGACAAUGGGCGCAAGCCUGAUCCAGCAAUGCCGCGUGCAGGAAGAAGGCCUUCGGGUUGUAAACUGCUUUUGUACGGAACGAAACGGCUCUGGUUAAUACCUGGGGCCGAUGACGGUACCGUAAGAAUAAGCACCGGCUAACUACGUGCCAGCCGCCGCGGUAAGAC
rnacentral:rRNA from 1 species